rnacentral:rRNA from 1 species
CCUACGGGUGGCUGCAGUGAGGAAUAUUGGUCAAUGGGCGCGAGCCUGAACCAGCCAAGUAGCGUGAAGGAUGACUGCCCUACGGGUUGUAAACCUCUUUUAUAGAGGAAUAAAGUGAGUCACGUGUGCCUUUUUGUAUGUACCCUAUGAAUAAGGAUCGGCUAACUCCGUGCCAGCAGCCGCGGUAAUACGGAGGAUCCGCGCGUUCUCCGGAUUUAUUGGGUUUAAAGGGAGCGUAGGUGGGAUGGUAAGUCAGUUGUGAAAGUUUGCGGCUCAACCGUAAAAUUGCAAUUGACACUGGCAGCCUUGAGUACACGAGAGGUAGGCGGAAGGCGUGGUGUAGCGGUGAAAUGCAUAGAUAUCACGAAGAACUCCGAUUGCGAAGGCAGCUUACUGGACUGCAACUGACAUUGAUGCUCGAAAGUGUGGGUAUCAAACAGGAUUAGAUACCCGAGUAGUC